CCGAUGGCGACCGGCGCACGGGUGAGUAACACGUAUCCAACCUGCCGAUAACUCGGGGAUAGCCUUUCGAAAGAAAGAUUAAUACCCGAUGGCAUAAUAGAAUCGCAUGGUUUGAUUAUUAAAGAAUUUCGGUUAUCGAUGGGGAUGCGUUCCAUUAGGCAGUUGGUGGGGUAACGGCCCACCAAACCUUCGAUGGAUAGGGGUUCUGAGAGGAAGGUCCCCCACAUUGGAACUGAGACACGGUCCAA
rnacentral:rRNA from 1 species